rnacentral:rRNA from 1 species
AUCAACUUUCGAUGGUAGGAUAGUGGCCUACCAUGGUGGUGACGGGUGACGGAGAAUUAGGGUUCGAUUCCGGAGAGGGAGCCUGAGAAACGGCUACCACAUCCAAGGAUGGCAGCAGGCGCGCAAAUUACCCAAUCCCGACACGGGGAGGUAGUGACAAUAAAUAACAAUACGGGGUUCUUUAGGAUCUCGUAAUUGGAAUGAGUACAAUUUAAAUCUCUUAACGAGGAACAAUUGGAGGGCAAGUCUGGUGCCAGCAGCCGCGGUAAUUCCAGCUCCAAUAGCGUAUAUUAAAGUUGUUGCAGUUAAAAAGCUCGUAGUUGAAUUUCGGGGUUAGUAGGUUGGUCAUGCCUCUGGUAUGUACUGGUCUCACUGAUUCCUCCUUCCUUAUGAACCGUAAUGCCAUUAAUUUGGUGUUGCGGGGAAUUUGGACUGUUACCUUGAAAAAAUUGGAGUGUUUAAAGCAAGCUAACGCUUGAAUACAUCAGCAUGGAAUAAUGAAAUAGGACGUUCGAUCUUAUUUUGUUGGUUUCUAGGAUUGACGUAAUGAUUAAUAGGAAUAGUUGGGGGCAUUAGUAUUCAAUUGUCAGAGGUGAAAUUCUUGGAUUUAUUGAAGACUAACUACUGCGAAAGCAUUUGCCAAGGAUGUUUUCAUUAAUCAAGAGCGAAAGUUAGGGGAUCGAAGACGAUCAGAUACCGUCGUAGUCUUAACCAUAAACUAUGCCGACUAGGGAUCGGAUGACGUUAAUUUUUAAUGACUCAUUUCG